rnacentral:sRNA from 1 species
GCCAGGUGUGGUGGCGCAGGCCUGUAAUCCCAGCAACUCGGGAGGCUGAGGCAGGAGGAUCACAAGUUCUAAACUAGCCUCAGCCACUUAGUGAGGCCCUAAGCAACUCUGUGAGACCCUGUCCUUC